rnacentral:rRNA from 1 species
AUGUCGCCUUUGAGUACGUCGGAGGAACAGGCACCGAGUUCGCCUUUGAGUACGCCGGAGGAACCGGCACCAUGUUCGCCGGAAUUCUUGGUCCAGAGAAGCAUUGUGAGUCCAACGGUGGCUACAACAGAGGUGGCAAAGGCGUCCAAUCCAACUCAGGUGGAGGCCAAGGAAGUUCGGCUCUCGGACCUUGCACCAAUGAUGCUGGAUGAUACCGACGUGCAGACUUUGACACUUGUGCAGAAGCCCAAUGGGAUGAAAUUACGGACCACAGAGAGGUGUAAUUAUUAA